rnacentral:rRNA from 1 species
UACAGAGGUCUCAAGCGUUGUUCGGAUUCAUUGGGCGUAAAGGGUGCGUAGGCGGCGCGGUAAGUCGGGUGUGAAAUCUCGGAGCUUAACUCCGAAACUGCAUUCGAUACUGCCGUGCUUGAGGACUGGAGAGGAGACUGGAAUUUACGGUGUAGCGGUGAAAUGCGUAGAUAUCGAGAGGAACACCUGCGGCGAAGGCGGGUUGCUGGGCUGACACUGACGCUGAACUGCGAAAGCUAGGGGAGCGAACGGG